rnacentral:rRNA from 1 species
UUAAAUUGAAGAGUUUGAUCAUGGCUCAGAUUGAACGCUGGCGGCAGGCCUAACACAUGCAAGUCGAACGGUAACAGGAAGCAGCUUGCUGCUUCGCUGACGAGUGGCGGACGGGUGAGUAAUGUCUGGGAAACUGCCUGAUGGAGGGGGAUAACUACUGGAAACGGUGGCUAAUACCGCAUAACGUCGCAAGACCAAAGAGGGGGACCUUCGGGCCUCUUGCCAUCAGAUGUGCCCAGAUGGGAUUAGCUGGUUGGUGAGGUAACGGCUCACCAAGGCGACGAUCCCUAGCUGGUCUGAGAGGAUGACCAGCCACACUGGAACUGAGACACGGUCCAGACUCCUACGGGAGGCAGCAGUGGGGAAUAUUGCACAAUGGGCGCAAGCCUGAUGCAGCCAUGCCGCGUGUAUGAAGAAGGCCUUCGGGUUGUAAAGUACUUUCAGCGGGGAGGAAGGUGUUGUGGUUAAUAACCGCAGCAAUUGACGUUACCCGCAGAAGAAGCACCGGCUAACUCCGUGCCAGCAGCCGCGGUAAUACGGAGGGUGCAAGCGUUAAUCGGAAUUACUGGGCGUAAAGCGCACGCAGGCGGUCUGUCAAGUCGGAUGUGAAAUCCCCGGGCUCAACCUGGGAACUGCAUUCGAAACUGGCAGGCUUGAGUCUUGUAGAGGGGGGUAGAAUUCCAGGUGUAGCGGUGAAAUGCGUAGAGAUCUGGAGGAAUACCGGUGGCGAAGGCGGCCCCCCUGGACAAAGACUGACGCUCAGGUGCGAAAGCGUGGGGAGCAAACAGGAUUAGAUACCCUGGUAGUCCACGCCGUAAACGAUGUCUACUUGGAGGUUGUGCCCUUGAGGCGUGGCUUCCGGAGCUAACGCGUUAAGUAGACCGCCUGGGGAGUACGGCCGCAAGGUUAAAACUCAAAUGAAUUGACGGGGGGCCCGCACAAGCGGUGGAGCAUGUGGUUUAAUUCGAUGCAACGCGAAGAACCUUACCUGGUCUUGACAUCCACAGAAGAAUCCAGAGAUGGAUUGGUGCCUUCGGGAACUGUGAGACAGGUGCUGCAUGGCUGUCGUCAGCUCGUGUUGUGAAAUGUUGGGUUAAGUCCCGCAACGAGCGCAACCCUUAUCCUUUGUUGCCAGCGGUUAGGCCGGGAACUCAAAGGAGACUGCCAGUGAUAAACUGGAGGAAGGUGGGGAUGACGUCAAGUCAUCAUGGCCCUUACGACCAGGGCUACACACGUGCUACAAUGGCGCAUACAAAGAGAAGCGACCUCGCGAGAGCAAGCGGACCUCAUAAAGUGCGUCGUAGUCCGGAUUGGAGUCUGCAACUCGACUCCAUGAAGUCGGAAUCGCUAGUAAUCGUGGAUCAGAAUGCCACGGUGAAUACGUUCCCGGGCCUUGUACACACCGCCCGUCACACCAUGGGAGUGGGUUGCAAAAGAAGUAGGUAGCUUAACCUUCGGGAGGGCGCUUACCACUUUGUGAUUCAUGACUGGGGUGAAGUCGUAACAAGGUAACCGUAGGGGAACCUGCGGUUGGAUCACCUCCUUACCUUAAAGAAGC